rnacentral:misc_RNA from 1 species
GGAAGUAAAAUCGUAACAAGGUUUCCGUAGGUGAACCUGCGGAAGGAUCAUUAACGAGUUAGGGUCUUCUAGGCCCGACCUCCCAACCCUUUGUUUACUGAACCAUUGUUGCCUCGGUGGGUCCGUCUUACGACCGCCGGGGGAUCGCCGCGAGGCGCCCCCUGGCCAGCGCCCACCGAUAGCCCAACCUUUAAAACCCUUUGUGAAUCGUGUCUUAUGUCUAAAUUUAUGAUUAAACAAUCAAAACAAAACUUUCAACAACGGAUCUCUUGGUUCUG